CGGGGUGCAGCAGGCGCGAAAACUCUACAAUGCAGGCAACUGCGAUAGGGGAACAUCGAGUGAUCCUCAUAUUGGGGGUCUGUCCACCCGCCUAAAAAGCGGGUGUUAGCAAGGGCCGGGCAAGACCGGUGCCAGCCGCCGCGGUAAUACCGGCGGCUCGAGUGGUGGCCGAUAUUAUUGAGUCUAAAGGGUCCGUAGCCGGCUUUGCAAGUCUCUCGGGAAAUCCAGCGGCUUAACCGUUGGUCGUCCGGGGGGUACUACAUUGCUUGGGACUGGGAGAGGUAGGAGGUACUCAGGGGGUAGGAGUGAAAUCCUGUAAUCCUUUGGGGACCACCGGUGGCGAAGGCGUCCUACCAGAACAGGUCCGACGGUGAGGGACGAAAGCUAGGGGCACGAACCGGAUUAGAUACCCGGGUAGUCCUAGCCGUAAACGAUGCUCGCUAGGUGUCACAACAGUCGUGAACUGUUGUGGUGCCGUAGGGAAGCCGUGAAGCGAGCCACUUGGGAAGUACGACCGCAAGGUUGAAACUUAAAGGAAUUGG
rnacentral:rRNA from 1 species